GAUGCGGGGAUCUCCCGCAUCACCUGCUCCCGCAGCACCAGCUCUGGUCCCCCAGCCCAGAGCAGGUUUUUGGAAAAGCGCAGCUGUGUCCUGACCAGAGAGGCAUAUCUUGGAAACUGGGCAUAACCCAAACUGCAUUGGUGGCCGAUGUAAAAGCGUAAAAAUCCAGGGGACAAUGAAGUGAGGGAUCGCCUCUCGCUGGAAUCCUCAGUGCAGGAUGCACACAGGGCACUACUUGUAGUAUUUGUUGUGGUUUAGCUCUGCAGUUACCACUACAGAGUUGUUAAAUAGGAGAGCCAAGCAGCUCUGAUCAUUCUUACCCUGAGCUAAGCCAUCCUGUACUAAUACGGCCCAUUUUUAGAGGAAGGAAAGCAUGUGAAGGGACAACACGCACAUUUCUGGGCCAAAAAAUUCAGCCACUAAGCUUGCCAACAUGGGUUUUGAUAGCCACAACAGGCAUGCACACGUGCUAUUUCUGGCUCCCGCUGCAGAACAGGAACUUUGCUCAGAGCAGAGUACACCUGGCACAUCUCCAGAUCAAGUCUACAAUGGUCUGUCUCCACCAGCUUAGCCCCACCACACAACAUGACCUCAGCCUAAACAGGCCAAAGAGAAAGUAAAUAACAGGAAAAACCUUGUCUCAUACUUGCGUGAUAUCCGAGUGCUCCGGGAUCUCUAAUAAUUCGAUCUGUUGUUCCUGUGCCUGGGCAAUAAAGAUCUCUUUAAUGUC